UAUCGUCAAGGACGCUGACGACUACCGAGAAUGACUGCUUUCAUUGCAGAAUUGGAAGCUUUGAUAGAUAGUGUUGUCGUUUUUGUUGUUUUUUUUAGCGCGUUAGAGUAGAUGAUCGCUGCCAUAGAAGAAGUACCCUACUCUUAUGUAAAUAUUUACCAGUCUGAUUAAUAGGAUGUGUCACUCUCCGCAGGGCUCCCGACAAGAUAAAUUAUUAUAAUAAAUUAUUGUAUAAACUACAUAUAGUGUUUCUACUAUAUGAUAAUUCAUUUCUUCAUAUUACAGGUGACUGAAUAAAAAUAUCCCUAUCUAUCAGACUCUGGUAACAUCCGUCUCACCUUUCAGGCGACUCAACAUCUGAAUCAAAUGGCCACUGACACAACCAAGUCUGCUCUAAAAUGUUGGUAACUCUACAUUGGUGCGAAGCGCAGAACAGUUAAAAUAAAGCGACAUCUGGCGGUGUAAACGAUAGAGAAUUUUCGACACUCAAGAAAAUGAUGACGGCUUGGAGAACGAGAACGAAGCGAAUAAUGCAACUGCCAACUUUCGUCUUCGUCCGACAGAGAGGAAUUCUGCCGCUGCGGAAAAUGAUUGUUUCGUGAUUGUGUUGGCUGUGCACAAAUCUAUGGAAAUGGGUUAAUUACCAAGAUGAAUAAUCACUUAUAAGCGUACUUGAACUGAUCAAAACGAUAAACGCAAAAUCUGAUGUUUUCUUAUGUCUGCAACUGUCUCAAGAUUCGCGGCAAUGUGUUAUUACCAGGAGACUUCUGACAGACGCUGUCAUAGUGCAAGCACACUGAAAUAUCAUAAACACGCCACCAGAUCACGUGAUAUCGACAACGGGCUAACCAAGCCUUAACGCCAAUUCAUUGAAGCUGCACAAAAUCAAUAUUAUAUCAUGCUAACACGAUUUUGGGAGGAAAUAUAGAAUAUACAUACUCAUGUUCACUUACGCUAUAGAAUGUUACAAAAGUCGGAACCCUACUGUAUAUACAGUUUAUCUAGAGUUAAGUUGGCUGAUAAUACUGAGACUAUUUGGAGCUGCCACGACACUUAUUCGAUCAUGGUGUAAGCUAUUUUAUCUUGAAAUAAAGAUCGACAUUC